AUACAGAGGGUGCGAGCGUUAAUCGGAUUUACUGGGCGUAAAGCGUGCGUAGGCGGCUUCUUAAGUCGGAUGUGAAAUCCCUGAGCUUAACUCAGGAAUUGCAUUCGAUACUGGGAAGCUAGAGUAUGGGAGAGGAUGGUAGAAUUCCAGGUGUAGCGGUGAAAUGCGUAGAGAUCUGGAGGAAUACCGAUGGCGAAGGCAGCCAUCUGGCCUAAUACUGACGCUGAGGUACGAAAGCAUGGGGAGCAAACAGGAUUAGAAACCCUAGUAGUCC
rnacentral:rRNA from 1 species